GCCUUGGUGGCGGAAUUGGUAGACGCGAAGGACUUAAAAUCCUUUGGCCGUUGAGGCCGUGCCGGUUCGACUCCGGCCCAGGGUA
rnacentral:tRNA from 1 species